CAAAGGUGACAUGAUUUGAAAAAGUUAUAAAUGAUAUUAAUAUUAAUAUAUGGAUACUCAUAAAUUAUAUAUAUAUAAAUAUAUAUAUAUAAGACUUAUGUUAUAGAAAGGAUAAAUUAGUUUGGCAAAAGCCGAUCCUAGCUAGAAAUAGUAUAUAUAAAAGUAUGUGAAUUGAAACAUCUUAGUAACAUAUGUAAAAACCAAUAGGGUUAACAGUAGUAUCGGUGAGAGAAUCUGUUGUUGUAUACAAGUAAUACUUUGAAGUAUGAAUAUAGUAGUAUCUACUACUAAUACAUAAACUAUAACAUAAAGUUAAAAGUACUGUAAAGGAAAGAGUUUAAAUAUCAAUUUAUAUAUUAAAUAAGAUAUAUAUAAGAGAUAUAAUGAAAUAUAUUAAUAAAGAGCAACUAUAGUAUAGUGUACCUCUUGUAUAAUGGGUCAGUGAGUUAUUUUUAUAAGCGAAAUGAAUAUUAUAUAUAAUAAGAAAUAGUUUAUAGGAAUAGACCCGAAAGCACAUGAUCUAUAUAUGUAUAGAUAUAUAUUAAAACAAAUAUAUGAUCAAAUAGGUAGAUGUAGCAAUAUCUUCUAAAGAUAUGUGUAUAGUAGUGAAAGGCAAAACUGAUGUGCAGAUAGCUGGUUAUCUACGAAAUAUAUGUUAGUAUAGCCCUUAUAAUAGCGUACACCCUGGUAAAGCACUUAAUACCAUAUUGGAAUAAAUUUAUUUACUAUAUGUAUUAAACCUCUGAACAGGUGUGAUAUGACAUAUAAGGAGUCAGACUUAUUGCGAUAAGGUAAUAGGUCGAAUAGGGAAUAACCUAGACUAUUAAAUGAAGGUCCCAAAUCCUCAUUAAGUGAAUACAAUCCUAUGGGUAGAUAAAUACCCCUUUAUAUCCCCUUAAGGGAUUAUUUUGAUCAGACAAUUAGUCAGUGGGUUUGAUAAUAAUCACCUGUUAAAGAACAUGUAAAAAUGCACUAAUAGAAUUUAUAUCUUAAUAAGAUAUAUAUAUCAAAAGAUAGGAACAAAUAUACGGGUCUAAAUGUAGGAACCGAAUAAUAGAUAUAAUAUUUUUAUAUUAUAUAGUAGUAGAUUAUAUAGUGAUAAGAACUAUAAAGACAAUGCUGACUUGAGUAACGAUAGGUAAUUAAGGAUUACCCCUACAAAGCACAAGGUUUAACUAUAAAUUAACGGUAUCUAAGUAUAUAUAUGAAGAUAUAUAUAUGAUGAUUGAUAGUACAGGAAAAUGUAAUAACCGUACCGCAGUCCGACCCAGGUGUGUAAAUGAUUAUAAUAAUAAUCAUAAUAUUAUUUAUAAUAAUAAGAAUAAUAUUGAGUAGGAAUGGGUGAAGUAUCAUAAAUGAACUCGGCAAAUAAGGCAAGGCCUGAAUAGUACGACUGUUUACCAAAAACACAGCUUACUGCAAAUAGGAAACUAUCGGUAUAGUAAGUGAUAUCUGUCCGGUGUAAGUUAGAUAAAUAAAUAAUUGACUUAUAAACGACGGUCUUAUCAUGAGGAUCUGAAAGUAGCAAAAUUCAUUGGCAUAUAAUUGGUGUCCCGCAUGAAUGAUUAUACGAUACUAUAGCUGUAUCUAUGGUAUACCCAGUGAAAUAGUAAUCGCAGUGAAGAUACUGUGUAGUCAUAGAUUGACAAAAAGACCCUAUGCAGCUUUACUAUAUUCUUAUACUGUUAUAUCUAUAAAUAUUUAAAUUAAAUAUUUUAAUUCCUUAUAUAUUUCUUUUAAUAUAUAAGGGCUAUAUGUUUAUUUCUUUAUAUAUAUAACUAACCUUUUUAAGGUACCAUAUAAGAUGGUUAGUUUCGAUGGGGCGUCGGCAUCACAAAAUAUAACUGAUGUGUCUAAAUGAUAUUUUUAUAUUCCCUUAUAUUUUAUUACUUUUUAGUUUUAUUUUAUAAGGCUAUCAUCUUUUUAAGAUAAUAAUAGAAUAAAUAAGUACAGAUACACUAGUAGGCAACUAGUAUAAAUUAAUAUAAUAUUAUUUUAUAUAUAUAAUCCUUCAUUUUUGAUGAGGGAUCAUAUGUGAUACAUAUAUAAUUAAUUUUAUGAAUAAGGAUAAUAACAUAACUGUGCUAUGAUAAUGACACAUACUUGUGGAAUUAGUACUUAAGUAUAGUAUAUUGAACAGGCAAUAUCAUUAGAAUUGAGUGUCGAUUACGGAUUAAAGUUACGCUAGGGAUAACAGGGUAAUAUCGCUAGAGAGUUGAUAUCGUCAGCGAUGUUUGCCACCUCGAUGUCGUCUAGACUUAUCCUAUUGGUCGUAGAAGCUAAUAAGGGUACGACUGUUCGUCGUUUAAAAAGUUACUUGAGAUGGGUUAAUUACGACGUGAGUCAGUAAUGAUUUUAUCAUCUAUGACGUUAAUAGUAAUAUGUAAUUAUAUGUGUACGAAAGGAUUAUAUAAUAUAGUUCAAUGGUGAAGAGCAUUUGAUUCUUAGCUAAAACUAUAAAGGAUAAAUAUUGAUAGCUUAUAAAAUAUUAAGCCUUACAUAUUCACUAUAUAAACAUUAAAGAUAAUAAUGUUAUAGUAAUAUAUCUAUGCUUUAUUUUUUAAUAAAAAGGAUAUAAUAAACUAAUAAAUUUAAUCAUUUUUAAUAACAAAUCAUGUCAAAUGAUUUAUAUAAAUAUAUAUGAUAUAUAUAUAUAUUAUAUAAUAAUAUCACUUCACACACAAUGAGUGGUAUAUAUUCAUUUAUAAAUUCCUUACAAAGUUUGUGAUUAUAAAUUAAUUUCCCCUUCUCUUUAUUCAUUGUGAACAAUCUUAAGGAAAUAUAUCAUAUAGAUUUCAAA
rnacentral:rRNA from 1 species